rnacentral:rRNA from 1 species
AGUGAACGCUGGCGGUAGGCCUAACACAUGCAAGUCGAACGGCAGCACAGGAGAGCUUGCUCUCUGGGUGGCGAGUGGCGGACGGGUGAGGAAUACAUCGGAAUCUACUCUGUCGUGGGGGAUAACGUAGGGAAACUUACGCUAAUACCGCAUACGACCUACGGGUGAAAGCAGGGGAUCUUCGGACCUUGCGCGAUUGAAUGAGCCGAGGUCGGAUUAGCUAGUUGGCGGGGUAAAGGCCAACCAAGGCGACGAUCCGUAGCUGGUCUGAGAGGAUGUUCAGCCACACUGGAACUGAGACACGGUCCAGACUCCUACGGGAGGCAGCAGUGGGGAAUAUUGGACAAUGGGCGCAAGCCUGAUCCAGCCAUACCGCGUGGGUGAAGAAGGCCUUCGGGUUGUAAAGCCCUUUUGUUGGGAAAGAAAUCCAGCUGGCUAAUACCCGGUUGGGAUGACGGUACCCAAAGAAUAAGCACCGGCUAACUUCGUGCCAGCCGCCGCAGUAA